rnacentral:rRNA from 1 species
AUGAAACAACCUCCUGGGUUUGUAAAUGCACAGGCACCACUUCAUGUGUGCAAACUUGACAAGGCGUUGUAUGGACUAAAACAGGCCCCAAGAGCAUGGUAUUCUCGCCUCAGUAAAAAGAUGCAAACACUUGGUUUUGUUCCUUCAAAGUCUGACACUUCGUUAUUUAUCUAUAACAAGUCAAGAGUAUCCAUAUUUGUCCUUAUUUAUGUUGAUGAUAUAAUUGUAACAAGUUCAUGUGAUGAAGCAAUAACAACACUGUUGAAGGAUUUAAGUGCAGAGUUUGCCUUAAAGGAUCUAGGAGAUCUACACUACUUUCUUGGUAUUGAGGUCAAGCAACACAAGGAUGGUCUACACCUCUCUCAAGAAAAGUAUGCAACAGACUUGGUAAAAAAGGCUGGUUUGCAAAAUUGUAAGUCUGCACCUACUCCUUUGUCUAGCACAGAAAAAUUGUCUCUUGUUGAAGGAGAGCCUCUGAAUUCAGAAAAUAGUACAAAAUACAGGAGUCUGGUAGGUGCACUUCAAUACUUAACAUUGACUAGACCAGAUAUUUCUUUUGCUGUCAAUAAAGUAUGUCAGUUUCUUCAUGCACCUACCACUGUUCACAUGACUGCUGCAAAAUGUGUAGUAAGAUAUGUGAAAAAUACGUUGAACAUUGGUCUAAACUUCAGCAAGUCAUCUUCUGCACUUGUCAGUGCCUUUUCUGACUCAGACUGGGCCGGGUGUCUAGAUGAUAGACGCUCGACUGGUGGUUUUGCGGUAUUCUUUGGACCAAAUUUGAUAUCUUGA